rnacentral:rRNA from 1 species
UACGUAGGGUGCGAGCGUUAAUCGGAAUUACUGGGCGUAAAGCGUGCGCAGGCGGUUUUGUAAGCCAGAUGUGAAAUCCCCGGGCUCAACCUGGGAAUGGCAUUUGGGACUGCAAGGCUGGAGUUCGGCAGAGGAGACUGGAAUUCCUGGUGUAGCAGUGAAAUGCGUAGAUAUCAGGAGGAAUACCGAUGGCGAAGGCAGGUCUCUGGGCUGAUACUGACGCUCAUGCACGAAAGCGUGGGGAGCAAACAGG